rnacentral:lncRNA from 1 species
CUUAGGAAAAGUGUAUAGAUUGGAAAAAAACAUAAUCUUAAUUACGAUUGUGCCAUCUCUUUGAAUAAGGAAGAGCGAGCCCUAGGAAAGGGAGUAAGAGAAUACGAUGAAGAUUGAGAGAGCUAGGGGCCGGCCACAGAUCCUUACCGUGGAUUCACGGUGGCGCACAGGCAGUAACAUCACAACCUAGCUUGUAUACUACAACAACUCACUAACCGGAAUCGAGGGUUCUUCAGUUCUACCCAUGGCUCCUCUGUUUUUUUUUUCUUCUUUUCACAUCAGUGCUUCACCAGUGCUUUUCUUUUGUUGUCCAAGAGGGAUUUCAUAUUUCAUAUUUCAUGAAGGUACUGAUUGAUGAAAAUCAAAAUCAUCCUCGCGUUUGAGGAAUAGAGGGAAUGACGAAGUACACCGGCCUUAAAGGAAGUCUGACUGCCGACUUCCGGGCGCGCCACACCCGUAGACCCUGCGAAUAUGUGCACAUUUUUGGGAUAUAGUCAAGCUUGAACGCGCUCCAAUUGCAAAUGCAAAUGUGAAUGCAAGUUCAACAACAUCAAAUGCAACAAAUGCCACGGAUUCAACCAUACCAAUAAGUCGAGCAUGAUUUUGUUUCUCUUAACCAGGACAAUGAAGAGGAAAUUGCUCUGAAAUCCACCCACAAAUGUUAAAGAACAAAAUGGGGGAAACAGGCACAAGAAGAAACGAGCAACAAAGCAAACCUUGGACCCCGAUCGAAUGGAAGCGUUAGCAUGAGCGUGGUGUAAUGAUUCUCUAGAUCCAAUAAAAAGGGUUAUUUUUUUUUCAACUAUAUACAUUAGU